GUAAGCUGAUAGCUAUAGACAGUCCGGGCAUGCUGGGAGUUGAAGUUUUGCAACAGCUGGAGGGCCACAGUUUGAGGAUGCAUGGUCUAGGAACUCUGUUUUCUGGUCGGACAGAAACAAGCAAGGCGUUCUGCAGCUAUUGGGACUACUCACAACAAUAUCUGGUAUAAAGCCCACCUGUUCUGCUGAUAUAAGCUCCGGAUAAAGCACAACAUCAGCUCCGCCGAGCCCCCGGCCAAAGUGUGGAAGUGGUGUCCGAGAUC